UACGGAGGGUGCAAGCGUUGCUCGGAAUUAUUGGGCGUAAAGGGUAGGUAGGUGGUCUUAUUUGUCUGAGGUGAAAUCCUUGAGCUUAACUCAAGAAGUGCCUCAGAAACGGUGAGACUAGAGUCCUGGAGAGGGUCGUGGAAUUCCCGGUGUAGCGGUGAAAUGCGUAGAGAUCGGGAGGAACACCAGAGGCGAAGGCGGCGACCUGGACAGGUACUGACACUCAACUACGAAAGCGUGGGGAGCAAACAGG
rnacentral:rRNA from 1 species